rnacentral:rRNA from 1 species
UACGUAGGGGCCAAGCGUUGUUCGGAUUUACUGGGCGUAAAGGGCGCGUAGGCGGCGUGGUAAGUCACUUGUGAAAUCUCUGAGCUCAACUCAGAACGGCCAAGUGAUACUGCUGUGCUAGAGUGCAGAAGGGGCAAUCGGAAUUCUUGGUGUAGCGGUGAAAUGCGUAGAUAUCAAGAGGAACACCUGAGGUGAAGACGGGUUGCUGGGCUGACACUGACGCUGAGGCGCGAAAGCCAGGGGAGCAAACGGG